GGGCCCGUGGUCUAGCCUGGAUAAGACAUUUGGCUUCGGACCAGAAAAUCGGGGGUUCGAAUCCCUCCGGGCCCGCCA
rnacentral:tRNA from 1 species